rnacentral:rRNA from 1 species
CAUGCCGUAAACGUUGGGCGCUAGAUGUGGGGACCAUUCCACGGUUUCUGUGUCGUAGCUAACGCAUUAAGCGCCCCGCCUGGGGAGUACGGCCGCAAGGCUAAAACUCAAAGGAAUUGACGGGGGCCCGCACAAGCGGCGGAGCAUGCGGAUUAAUUCGAUGCAACGCGAAGAACCUUACCAAGGCUUGACAUAUACCGGAAACGGCCAGAGAUGGUCGCCCUGCUUGCAGUCGGUAUACAGGUGG